CCUUAGUAGCGGCGAGUGAAGCGGCAAGAGCUCAAAUUUGAAAUCUGGUACCUUCGGUGCCCGAGUUGUAAUUUGAAGAAAGCAGUCUUGGAUUUGGCCUUUGUCUAUGUUCCUUGGAACAGGACGUCACAGAGGGUGAGAAUCCCGUGCGAUGAGGUGUCCAUUUCUUUGUAAGGCGCUUUCGAAGAGUCGAGUUGUUUGGGAAUGCAGCUCUAAGUGGGUGGUAAAUUCCAUCUAAAGCUAAAUAUUGGCGAGAGACCGAUAGCGAACAAGUACUGUGAAGGAAAGAUGAAAAGAACUUUGAAAAGAGAGUGAAAAAGUACGUGAAAUUGUUGAAAGGGAAGGGUAUUCGAUCAGACUUGGUAUUUAGUUAUCUUCGCCUCUCGGGGUGUUGCUCUAACUUUUUACUGGGCCAGCAUCAGUUUUGGUGGUAAGAUAAUGACAGUUGAAUGUGUCUCCUCGGAGUGUUAUAGCUUCUGUUGAUGUUACCUACUGGGACUGAGGUCUGCGGCUUUGCCUAGGAUGCUGGCGUAAUGAUCAAAUACCGC
rnacentral:rRNA from 1 species